UACGUAGGGUGCGAGCGUUGUUCGGAAUUACUGGGCGUAAAGGGCUCGUAGGCGGCCAACUAAGUCAUACGUGAAAUCCCUCGGCUUAACCGGGGAACUGCGUCUGAUACUGGAUGGCUUGAGUUCGGGAGAGGUGAGUGGAACUGCGAGUGUAGAGGUGAAAUUCGUAGAUAUUCGCAAGAACACCAGUGGCGAAGGCGGCUCACUGGCCCGAUACUGACGCUGAGGCACGAAAGCGUGGGGAGCAAACAGGG
rnacentral:rRNA from 1 species